CAAUUUGAAGCCAUUCUUGAAACUUCCAAGCACUUCUUGGAACUAUGUGUCUAUAGAAUAUGGACUCCUCAAUUGAGAGACUCUUAUUAGGAUCAUAUCCUAAAACCAUGAUGCAUGUCUCGUCGAACACAUCUUGAAGAUCCAAAACAUUUCCAUGUAACCAUGCAUGAUCAAGCUAUAUAUGCUUGAACCCAAUUCCAUUGGUUGAUUUUCUAGAGCCUAUAUAUGCUUUUGUCCUUUUCCUUGUGUUUUGAUUGUAUAUGUUGGAAUCUUAAACUUCAAGCUACCCAUGAUUAGUUUGAAAUGUCAACUAAUGUACUACACUCAUCUGGUUUUGUAGUUGUAAGUAGGACCAAAGGACCUACCCAAAACUCCGAGUUUGAGCACUCUUCCAUCCCUGCCACCAUAAAGAAGAUGUUCAACCUUUCAUCUAACUUCUUGACUCGUUGGGGAGUUAAGUUCCCCAAGAACAGAUUGCCCAGUGACUCUACCGGAUGUAAAGAAGACGGCAAGCUAUCCGAGUUUCAGAGCGAGGUGGUUUCUCAAUGGUGACCACUUCUUGAGCAGUUUCCCCGACGAAAUGAGCAAGAAGAUGAGUGUGAAGGAAGCUCAUGGAUAUGUAAAGGGAGCUGUUUCAAGGUUCAUAAGAGCUAGCAAAGAAGCCAUCAAGCUAUUGUUGAUAUGAGAUCCUCCCUCACUACUAGAACUUCAAUUCACAAUUGAUACCAGUAAUACAAGGAAAAAAAAAAAGGACAAGUGUGGUUAUCUUUUAUCUAAUUAUUGAUUAUUAUAGGUUGUGAGAUUGUUCUGGUGUUAAGAUAUUGAAACUGAAGUUUCAAUAGUAGGGAAGGGUGUGUGCCAAUGUGGUCUGUUAUCUUGUGUGUGAAGAAAGGUUCAUUUUGUUUUUAUUUC